GUCAGAGAAGGGUUGCUAGUGAGAACUGAUAACUCUGUGACAACUUGGUCAGCAUGGCAAAAAGCAGAGAGUAUGGAGAGUAGCAUGAAGUGUUGCGGAUACACAGGAAUUCCUAAUCCCAAAAUGAAAACUUGUUGGAGUUGCUCCAAGGCCAAGAAGCAAGGGGACAGCACCAGGCCCAAAUCAGAGCAGACACAUAAGAAGCCUUCUGGGACAAGAGCAAUAUCCCCAACCAGCCGGAUCAGGUGGGAAGACCACACAUAUUAAGGGACCAGCUCUCCCUGUCCCUCCAGUUCAGAUUCCCCACCUGGUAAAAGGAAGAGUUAAAGUGAAAGGAAAUGGAGUAUGACAUCAGACCUGAGGCCAAGUCCUUAAUUUGUUUUUUUGCUGAGGCCAAACUCAAGGAAGUCAACUGGAUCCUUGCCUGAGU
rnacentral:lncRNA from 1 species